GACGAACGCUGGCGGCGUGCUUAACACAUGCAAGUCGAACGAAGUGGCGAACGGGUGAGUAACGCGUAAUCAACCUGCCCUUCAGAGGGGGAUAACAGGUGGAAACGACUGCUAAUACCGCAAACUGAAGGAGGGGAUUGCGUCUGAUGAGCUAGUUGGGGGGGUAACGGCCAACCAAGGCGAUGAUCAGUGGCCGGGCUGGGAGGAUGGACGGCCAAAUGGGGACUGGGGAACGGCCCAAACUCCUACGGGGGGCAGCAGUGGGGAAUCUUCCGCAAAUGGCGAAAGGCUGGCGGAGCAACGCCGCGUGAGGGAUGACGGCCUUCGGGUUGGAAAGCUCUGUUAAUCGGGACGCGGUACCGAAAUAGAAAGCCACGGCUAACUACGUGCCAGCAGCCGCGGUAAUUC
rnacentral:rRNA from 1 species